rnacentral:pre_miRNA from 1 species
GCGCUGAAAGUGAGAGUUGGAGGAAUACAAACUGAUGGGUGCAUGUUUGAAACACGCAUGGUCACUGAUUCAGCUUGUUUUUCUCCAAUAUCUCACCUUCAGUCA